UAGUCCACGCUGUAAACGAUGUCAACUAGUUGCUUGUGGCUUUUACGCUGUGGGUGACGGAGCUAACGCAUUAAGUUGACCGCCUGGGGAGUACGGCCGCAAGGUUAAAACUCAAAUGAAUUGACGGGGGCCCGCACAAGCGGUGGAGCAUGUGGUUUAAUUCGAUGCAACGCGAAGAACCUUACCAUCCCUUGACAUCCAGAGAAUUUCUAGAGAUAGAUUAGUGCCUUCGGGAGCUCUGAGACAGGUGCUGCAUGGCUGUCGUCAGCUCGUGUUGUGAAAUGUUGGGUUAAGUCCCGNAACGAGCGCAACCCUUGUCCUUAUUUGCCAGCACUUCGGGUGGAACUUUAAGGAGACUGCCGGUGAUAAACCGGNGGAAGGUGGGGACGACGUCAAGUCAUCAUGGGCCCUUACGGGGAUGGGGCUACACACGUGCUACAAUGGCAGGGUACAGAGUGCUGCGAGCUCGCGAGAGUAAGCGAAUCACUUAAAGCUU
rnacentral:rRNA from 1 species